UAAUGAUAGUCUUUUGUCUUUUUUAGAUCAUCUGGCAAAGAGAUUUGCAGAGUGUCGGGUGACCGGCAAAGAGAUCUGCAAAGUGUCAGUUGAAGACGACGGGAGGGGUCGCAGAGGAAUUAGUGACUGGAGAAUAGCAUGCAGGAGUGGGUGAACCCUGAAUAGCUGCCCUGGGAGGAGAGCUGUGGACACAUGCUCCAAAUGUUGGGACAUAUGACGUAAAGAUGCCGGCUGUCGGGAUUACGGCAGUCAGAAUACUGACACUGGGAUCCCGACACUCUUAGGAAUCCCGACGUUGGAA